rnacentral:rRNA from 1 species
CCUACGGGUGGCAGCAGUGAGGAAUAUUGGUCAAUGGCCGGAAGGCUGAACCAGCCAAGCCGCGUGAAGGACGAAGGUGCCAAGCAUUGUAAACUUCUUUGUCAAGGGACAAAAUCAGGCCCGAGAGCCUGACCGAGGGUACUUGAAGAAAAAGCAUCGGCGAAACCCGUGACAGCAGCCGCCGUUAUCCGGAUGAUGGGAGCGGUAUCCGGAUUUCUUCGGGUUAAAGGGUGCGUAGGCGGACUGUUAAGUCAGCGGUAAAAGCCCGGGGCUCAACCCCGGCGAGCCGUUGAAACUGGCCGUCUUGAGAUGUCGAGAGGUAUGCGGAAUGCGCAGUGUAGCGGUGAAAUGCUUAGAUAUUGCGCAGAACUCCGAUUGCGAAGGCAGCAUACCGGCGGCGAUCUGACGCUGAGGCACGAAAGCGUGGGUAUCGAACAGGAUUAGAUACCCUGGUAGUC